rnacentral:rRNA from 1 species
UUCCUUCCCACAGACUUACCAGGUCCAGACAUAGGUACGCUACUAUAUAAAAAAGAUAACCCCAACACAUCGGGAUAUGGAAGAGUCUCUCGUUUUACUCUUGAUCUGGUCGUGCUCUGAAUUAUUGCUAACCGUUUCAUUUCUUGUUUUACUUCACAGUGAGGAUUGACAGAUUGAGAGCUCUUUCUUGAUUCUAUGGGUGGUGGUGAGUGUUAUUGUUGUGUUGUCUGUGAGCGUGUUUGUCAAUAUAUUGAAGAAUUGUUCUAACUCUCCUUUUUUCUAUUUUUAUUGUUUCAGGUGCAUGGCCGUUCUUAGUUGGUGGAGUGAUUUGUCUGGUUAAUUCCGUUAACGAACGAGACCCCUGCCUGCUAAAUAGUUGGGUGAAUGAUUUCUCAUUGACUACAGCUUCUUAGAGGGACGUGCGUUCUAUUAGACGCAGGAAGAUAGGGGCAAUAACAGGUCUGUGAUGCCCUUAGAUGUCCUGGGCCGCACGCGCGCUACACUGAUGCAUUCAACGAGUUGACCUUGGCCGAGAGGCCUGGGAAAUCUUUUUAACGUGCAUCGUGAUAGGGAUAGAUUAUUGCAAUUAUUAAUCUUGAACGAGGAAUUCCUAGUAAACGCAGAUCAUCAAUCUGCAUUGAUUACGUCCCUGCCCUUUGUACACACCGCCCGUCGCACCUACCGAUUGAUCGAUCNGGUGAAGCCUCGGGAUUGUGAGGAGUUUCCUUU